CCCGUGCACUGCUGUGAUUUGCUGCAUUUUUCCUCUCGAUUUCUCAGUUGUCCUCCACGCGAAGUUGUGGUGCCAGUUCUUCAGAACUGAAAACUAAUUUCUUUAGAACAUUUGUGUGUGUGUGUGUUUAGUGUGUUGUCCUUCCCCCCGGCACCUCCCGAUUAGCACGAUUGGUUACGCACGGUGCGAACGAGGUUCAGCGUCUUCACUCUCCAAACUUUGCUGAAAGCCAUGUCGAGCCUUGCGAACACGGCGCUCUGCAGAAGCACCCCGUGGCUGCCGCUGCUUCUGCUGCUGCUGCUGUUGCCUGCAAUUGCUCCAGCGUUUGCUCAAGUUCCCAGCAGUAAGUAUACAUGCGCCUUGGACAUAUGGUUCGGCGAACAAGAAGUUUUUAAGGCAACGAUUGGCAUCCCUGUGAAUCCAUCAAUCCUUUGUCGUGGAAGUCAAAUAACACAAAUUAUCAAGGAUGUUCAGAUGACAUGCAACCCUGGUGCUGCACAUGGAAACUCACUUAUUAAAAUGGAACAAAAUCCAGAGAGCCUGGACUAUUUAAAAUAUAAAUUGGAUUGUGGCAAACGAUUAGAAGAUUCCGAACUGAAUUAUGCAGAUAUGUUUGUGCUCUCCACAACACCGCUGAUGAGUAAUCCACGCGAUGUGCACUGUGACUACCACUUGCACGUGUGCCACGGUGAAGAAGAAAUGUCGUGGGAUUUUUACGUUGCAUUGUCACGUUUGAAACUACAAUUAUUGUGCAAUGUUAUGUUACAACCAUCCGUGACCAGAUAUUGUGACAAUGAAGAAAAUCCAACCAAGCUAAACAUGACUUACAAGAAUCCAGAUAUGUAUAUUUGCGGAUGGAAUUUGGUGUGCCCAACAGAUGUGGCCGGACCUGAUCCCACCCCUUCUAACAAAAAAAACAGCGGUUGUGGCCCUGAAAUGGCAUGCAGUGCUCUUAAUCUCCACCCUGGCUGCAUUACUCCAUUCGUCAUCUUCCUCUACAUUCUAGUCCAGUCGGGUUAGCUGGCUGCAGCAACUCCUGCAUUGCAAGGGAAUGAUGGAACGCACGCACGAGUUGAAAAUGGCACUGGUUUAUACAGCAUUGAAGUAAACACACACACACACCAUAGGUAUGCAGCACACAGGUCACGUAUGCAGUCACCACGUGACCCACCACACACAUAUUAGUAUUUUGCUAUCGAAAAUUUGUGUAUUUUUAUACCUCCGUUGUACCGCAGUGUGUCGCAGCGUGAAAGUUGCUUCACGGGCCAAUGCACAUGAACACCCUACACACUACACCAUGAACACCCUAUACGCUGCACCAUGAACACCCUACACACUGCACCAUGAACACCCUACACACUACACCAUGAACACCCUACACACUGCACCAUGAACACCCUACACACUACACAUGAACACCCUACACGCUGCACCAUGAACACCCUACACGCUGCACCAUGAUCACCUUGCACCACAAGCAGCCUACAACAUGCAGGAACCGGACUGAGAAUCCUGAUACUCGGACUACAACCCCACACACCUAGGCUCUCUGGAGAGACGCAGUCUCGACGUCGUCCUAUCAUUGCAUGCUGCUUCCUCUAUGUAUUCCCGCAUUGGUUCUUCCACUGGCUCUCACGCCGCUUGCUAUAAUCUUGUAGCAAUAGUGCAGCUAGAGUGACAUCGCUAUUGAAUAAAUGCGGGGUUUCAUUGAGACGCAAAACAAUGUUGCGGCACCUGCAUCUUGAACAUGCCGACUUUGCUUAAACUUCGAAGUAAAUCACCUCUCUCUGCCUCAACGCUUGAGGAGGAAGUCACUGUCACGUGUUGACUACGGUGUACACGUGACGUUAAAAGAUCUCUGCAUUUUCACGAUGACUUCAUAAUUCUUAGGUCUUUUGCUGCCAUGUUAUUUUUUACACUGCAAUGGUUUUGUAACGGACACUGCUGCCGAAUUUUUGGGACCCCAUUGAACCAUCGUAUGUACCUAACACAAUCUCUUUUAUGGCUUUAAUACUAUCUCAAGUUGCCAACCGACACGAAUGCAAAUGUAUAUCCACAUCAUCGGUACCAAAGUUACAUGAAUCCGUCUGAAUUAUAUGCUUGCGACAAUGGAACCUAACUACAGAAACGAAUCCCUAUAAAGCUUAACAUUUUGUAUCUUUAGUUAUUGAAUCAAUUUGAGGGUUGUGUUCACCUAUGCUUAUCACUGAAAUUCGCUUUUGUUUGUAAUAAAAACCAACGU